GACGAAGGGGGCUAGCGUUGUUCGGAAUUACUGGGCGUAAAGCGAGUGUAGGCGGUUGUCAUAGUCGGGUGUGAAAGCCUUGAGCUUAACUCAAGAAAUGCACUUGAUACUGGGCGACUAGAGGACCGGAGAGGAUAGUGGAAUUCCCAGUGUAGUGGUGAAAUACGUAGAGAUUGGGAAGAACACCAGUGGCGAAGGCGGCUCACUGGCCCGAUACUGACGCUGAGGCACGAAAGCGUGGGGAGCAAACAGG
rnacentral:rRNA from 1 species